rnacentral:lncRNA from 1 species
AUGCCGCUCGCAGUGCUCCAUAAUGCUAAGAGAAGAAUAACCUUUUCAUGUGACACCUCUGUUCAAAAUCCUUUAAUAGCUCCUGUCACCAACGUAGUCCUGGCCUCAGGCUGUGGUGGGGGCGGGGUGGAGGAUCUGAAUUCUUUCAAAGGAUCUAGGAAUCCAAAUAGUUCAGGAAGGCUUGUCUGGAAGCCAGCACACAUUCCCCAGGAGGGUAAGAAAUGCUCUCAACCCCACCUGCUUCCCUGCUCUCACCAUCCUCCCCUCCCCCUAGGAAUCUGGAAUUGCUACUCCAAUUGGCUGGAUUCUCGAACGCUCAUGGGUUCUUGUCUGAUGGUGGGCAGGAGUCUCCGGGGUCUAAAGGGUACACAGUCAGGUACCCAUUUUCAGUUCUGCUCUGUGCUAUGUGACCGCUCUCACCAGAAACUGUCCCUCCUGCAAAGCCAAUACCUUCAGGCUCAGAAGUGACCUGCUUCUCUCAAACCCAAGGCUGCCCCUCCAGGGUCAAGGUCAAUUCUCACCUCCUCCAGGAAGCCUCUGGGGAUUGUCAAGCUGCACUUGUCCUCCUUAGGCUUCAAACAACUUAUUGUCUGGAAUUUAUGCUCUGGGCUGUGACUCUUCUUUCAUUUAUUGACAAUAUAUGUUUAAAUUUUAAUUUAAAAAUUGCUUGCAAGGAUCUUAGUUCCUCUACCAGGCUUGAACUGGGCCUACAGCAGUCUUAACUGCCACGCUGAGUCCUGACUACUGGGCCAUCAAGGAAUUCUCCUAAACUUUCAAUUUUUAUAAAAUUUUAAAGGUUCUGAAAGGAAGGUUGUUGCUGAGCCAUGAAAGAUGCUGGGAUUCUUGGCCUUUGGAGAAGAGGAAUUCAAUCUGGGGCCCAGCUUGAUUGCUCAGAGCUUUUGUGUAAUAAAGUUUUAUUAAAUUAUAAAAGAGAUAGAGAAAGCUUCAGACAUAGACAUCAGAAGGGGGCAGAAAGAGUGCCCCCCGGUAGCCUUUCAGUUCAGUUCAGUUCAGUCACUCAGUCAUGUCCAACUCUUUGUGACCCCAUGAAUUAUAGCACGUCAGGCCUCCCUGUCCAUCACCAACUCCUGGAGUUCACCCAAAUUCAUGUCCAUCGAGUCGGUGAUGCCAUCCAACCAUCUCAUCCUCUGUCGUCCCCUUCUCCUCCUGCCCCCAAUCCCUCCCAGCUUCAGGGUCUUUUCCAAUGAGUCAACUCUUCGCAUGAGGUGGCCAAAGUACUGGAGUUUCAGCUUUAGCAUCAUUCCUUCCAAAGAACACCCAGGACUGAUCUCCUU